rnacentral:lncRNA from 1 species
UCUCCUCCAGGGGCCAGAGGGGGUCUCCUUAUAUAGUCCUCCCCUUCUAUGCGUUUUUGGGUCGGUAGGCGAGGUGGUACUAUGUUAUUCUGGAUCCAAUAGGUCGGUGGAGAUCUCCCGAGAGAAAGAGUCCUGAUUGGGCUCAGCAGGUGGGCGGGCGCCCAAGGAAACUGGGCGGGCGCCCAGGUCCUGGCCCCGUUUCGCCUCCGCUUCGGUCUCGUGGCUUCUGGAGUCUUCUAGAUGGUAGAAAAUUGCGCGGUGCGUUGAUAUCUCUAUGUAAUCCUAACAUGUGGGCCUUUCUUCCUUAUUUCCUGAUAACCCCCUGCAGAAAU